CACGUAGGGCGCAAGCGUUGUCCGGAAUUAUUGGGCGUAAAGAGCUCGUAGGCGGUCUGUUGCGUCCGCUGUGAAAACUCGGGGCUUAACCCCGAGCCUGCAGUGGAUACGGGCAGACUAGAGGUAGGUAGGGGAGAAUGGAAUUCCCGGUGUAGCGGUGAAAUGCGUAGAUAUCUGGAGGAACACCGGUGGCGAAGGCGGCAUCCUGGACCAACACUGACGCUGAGUGAGCGAAAGCCAGGGGAGCAAACGGG
rnacentral:rRNA from 1 species